rnacentral:rRNA from 1 species
GAUGAACGCUGGCGGCGUGCCUAAUACAUGCAAGUCGAGCGAACAGACGAGGAGCUUGCUCCUUUGACGUUAGCGGCGGACGGGUGAGUAACACGUAGAUAACCUACCUAUAAGACUGGGAUAACUUCGGGAAACCGGAGCUAAUACCGGAUAAUAUUUUGAACCGCAUGGUUCGAUAGUGAAAGACGGCUUUGCUGUCACUUAUAGAUGGAUCUGCGCCGUAUUAGCUAGUUGGUAAGGUAACGGCUUACCAAGGCAACGAUACGUAGCCGACCUGAGAGGGUGAUCGGCCACACUGGAACUGAGACACGGUCCAGACUCCUACGGGAGGCAGCAGUAGGGAAUCUUCCGCAAUGGGCGAAAGCCUGACGGAGCAACGCCGCGUGAGUGAUGAAGGUCUUCGGAUCGUAAAACUCUGUUAUUAGGGAAGAACAAACGUGUAAGUAACUGUGCACGUCUUGACGGUACCUAAUCAGAAAGCCACGGCUAACUACGUG